rnacentral:rRNA from 1 species
UACGGGGGGGGCAAGCGUUGUUCGGAAUUACUGGGCGUAAAGGGCUCGUAGGUGGCCAACUAAGUCAGACGUGAAAUCCCUCGGCUUAACCGGGGAACUGCGUCUGAUACUGGAUGGCUUGAGUUUGGGAGAGGGACGCGGAAUUCCAGGUGUAGCGGUGAAAUGCGUAGAUAUCUGGAGGAACACCGGUGGCGAAGGCGGCAUCCUGGACCAAUAUUGACGCUGAGGAGCGAAAGCCAGGGGAGCAAACGGG